GUUCCAUGCAUGCUACGUCACGCUAAAUAACAUUUGAGAUCUAUGAACACAACCACCCAAAUGAUGACAAAAGUAUAUCAGUUGGAUUACAGUAGACAUUGGGGAAAUUUUGGGCCAAAAGGAAAAUAUUUUUUUUCAAGAAAAGGUUGUAUUACAUAUAUUCUUAAAUUUCACUGAAGUUGUACAGGUUCUUAGGCAUCAGUGCUACUAUUUCGUUCAUUGUACUACGAACAUCUUUAAGUACAUUUUCUUGAAGGAACCUUCAGGAUAAGAUGCCCUGAUUUUACAGAAAUCACCAGACCCCCCACAUCCCCUUUUUACAGUUGUUUAGAGCAACGCAAUACUUUGGAUUAAUUUCAUUCAUAGCCCCUUAACUUAAAUGGUUGUAUCAGCAUCAUCCCUCAACUUCAAUUUGUAUCAUCAAAAUCUCCAAACUUCAAUUUGAGUAUCACUGAAAUCCCCGUAAUAUGCUAUUACAAGAUUUCAAGUUAACUUAUAGCUAAGCUUCCCUACUAGUCCCUUAAAUAAAUUUUCGUCCUUCAACUUUAUAGUCAAUUUAA
rnacentral:misc_RNA from 1 species